AUUGAACGCUGGCGGCAGGCCUAACACAUGCAAGUCGAACGGCAGCACAGAAGAGCUUGCUCUUUGGGUGGCGAGUGGCGGACGGGUGAGUAAUGUCUGGGAAACUGCCCGAUGGAGGGGGAUAACUACUGGAAACGGUAGCUAAUACCGCAUAACGUCGCAAGACCAAAGUGGGGGACCUUCGGGCCUCACACCAUCGGAUGUGCCCAGAUGGGAUUAGCUAGUAGGUGGGUAAUGGCUCACCUAGGCGACGAUCCCUAGCUGGUCUGAGAGGAUGACCAGCCACACUGGAACUGAGACACGGUCCAGACUCCUACGGGAGGCAGCAGUGGGGAAUAUUGCACAAUGGGCGCAAGCCUGAUGCGGCCAUGCCGCGUGUAUGAAGAAGGCCUUCGGGUUGUAAAGUACUUUCAGCGGGGAGAAAGGCGGUGAGGUUAAUAACCUUGCCGAUUGACGUUACCCGCAGAAGAAGCACCGGCUAACUCCGUGCCAGCCGCCGCAGUAA
rnacentral:rRNA from 1 species